UAUUAAAAAUUUCAUCUAUUUUUACGGUUAAAAAAUGGUGUGACUGAUAGAACAACCAAAUAGAUAUACAUGGCGUGCCACAUAUAUCUCAUUAUAAUGUAUAGUGAUCAGUUUUUAAGAGUAAAAAUAGAUAAAAUUUUUAACA
rfam:Gossypium raimondii Chr10_contig_16, whole genome shotgun sequence.